CAAUAGCGUAUAUUAACGUUGUUGCAGUUAAAAAGCUCGUAGUUGGAUUUCUGGAGGGAGCGUCGGCCCGUAUUUACGAGUGCGUGACGUCUCUGUCCAUCCUUGCGGGAAGGCACGGCAUUGAUUUGUUGUGUCGGAUCGCAUCAUUUACUGUGAAAAAAUUAGAGUGUUCAAAGCAGGCUUUCGCUUGAAUACAUUAGCAUGGAAUAAUAAGAUAGGACUCUGGUGCUAUUUUGUUGGUUGAGCCUAAAGUAAUGAUUAAUAGGGAUAGUUGGGGGCACCUGUAUUGCGUUGUCAGAGGUGAAAUUCUUGGAUUUACGCAAGACAAACAGCUGCGAAANCGNNNGCCAAGGAUGUUUUCAUNAA
rnacentral:rRNA from 1 species